rnacentral:rRNA from 1 species
GAUGAACGCUAGCUACAGGCUUAACACAUGCAAGUCGAGGGACCGGCGCAUGGGUGAGUAACACGUAUCCAACCUGCCCUUUACUCGGCGGUAGCCUUUCGAAAGAAAGAUUAAUACCCGAUGUACAGGAUGGGGAUGCGUUCGAUUAGGUUGUUGGUGAGGUAACGGCUCACCAACCCUUCGAUGGAUAGGGGUUCUGAGAGGAAGGUCCCCGACAUGGGAACUGCGACACGGACCAAACUCCUACGGGAGGCAGGAGUGAGGAAGAUUGGUGAAUGGGCGCUAGCCUGAACCAGCCAAGUAGCGUGAAGGAUGAAGGCUUAUGGGUCGUAAACUUCUUGUAUAUAAGAAUAGGUAUUAUAUGAAUAAGGAUCGGCUAACUCCGUGCCAGCAGCCGCGGUAAUAC